rnacentral:rRNA from 1 species
GAUGAACGCUGGCGGCGUGCCUAACACAUGCAAGUCGAACGAAGCAUACGGGACGGAGAUUCGUCGAAGCCCUGUAUGACUUAGUGGCGGACGGGUGAGUAAUGUAUGAGCAACCUGCCUUUCAGAGGGGGACAACAGUUGGAAACGACUGCUAAUACCGCAUAAUGUAUUUGGGCGGCAUCGCCUGGAUACCAAAGGAGCAAUCCGCUGAAAGAUGGGCUCAUAUCUGAUUAGCUUGUUGGCGGGGUAACAGCCCACCAAGGCGACGAUCAGUAGCCGGACUGAGAGGUUGAACGGCCACAUUGGGACUGAGAUACGGCCCAGACUCC